rnacentral:lncRNA from 1 species
CAGCCAUUUAGGAAAGAUUGGUGACCUAUCUGCAUGAUGGCAUUAACUACAAGGAUCAUCGAAGAGCCACAGUCACAAAGCCAGUCUCUGAAUAUGGUUCAAAGAAAUCUUAUAACUCUCUGAACAGAAGCAACCGAAUAUAUGGACCCCAUGACCCAGCUGUAUUAGUCUGUUCUCAUGCUGCUAAUAAAGACAUACCUGAGACUGCAUAAUUUAUAAAGGGAAGAGGUUUAAUGGACUCACAAUCAUGGCAGAAGGUGAAGGAGCAAAGGCAUGUCUUACAUGGUGGCAGGUAAGAGAACAUGUGCAGGAGAAUUGCCCUUUAUAAAACCAUCAGAUCUCAUGAGACUUAUUCACUAUCAUGAGAACAGCAUGGGAAAAUCUCACCCCCAUGAUUCAGUUACCUCCCACUGGGUCCCUCUCAUGACACGUGGGGAUUAUGGGAGCUGCAAUUCGAGAUGAAAUUUUCUUGGGGACAUAGCCAAAUCAUAUCAUUCCACCCCUGGCACCUCCCAAAUCUCAUGUCCCCACAUUUCAACGCCAAUCAUGCCUUCCCAACAGUUCCCCAAAGCCUUAACUCAUUUUAGCAUUAACUCAAAAGUCCACCAGUCCAAAGUCUCAUCUGAGAUAAGGCAAGUACCUUCCACCUAGGAGCCUGUAAAAUCAAAAGCAAGUUAGUUACUUUCUAGAUACAAUGGGGGUACAGACAUUGGGUAAAUAUACUAUUUCAAAUGGG